CGAGAUGUGUUUCUGCUUCUU
rnacentral:siRNA from 1 species